CCUACGGGAGGCUGCAGUGGGGAAUAUUGGACAAUGGGGGGAACCCUGAUCCAGCCAUGCCGCGUGUGUGAAGAAGGCCCUCGGGUUGUAAAGCACUUUCAGUGAGGAAGAACGCCUGGUGGUUAAUACCCAUCAGGAAAGACAUCACUCACAGAAGAAGCACCGGCUAACUCCGUGCCAGCAGCCGCGGUAAUACGGAGGGUGCGAGCGUUAAUCGGAAUUACUGGGCGUAAAGCGCGCGUAGGUGGCUUGAUAAGCCGGUUGUGAAAGCCCCGGGCUCAACCUGGGAACGGCAUCCGGAACUGUCAAGCUAGAGUGCAGGAGAGGAAGGUAGAAUUCCCGGUGUAGUGGUGAAAUGCGUAGAGAUCGGGAGGAAUACCAGUGGCGAAGGCGGCCUUCUGGACUGACACUGACACUGAGGUGCGAAAGCGUGGGUAGCAAACAGGAUUAGAUACCCCAGUAGUC
rnacentral:rRNA from 1 species